UUAGGCCAAAGUACAGUAGAUCAAAAUCCUCUGAAUUUGCUACACUGGUGUCAGAAGGUGUAUGGCGGAAAGGCGUGUACACGUGAGUGACUUGGCAUAGAGAAGAGCAUUGACAGAUCUCUUGCAUGACAGCUGCAGGCAAUCCAUGAUCUGUGUACUGUCCUGCUGUCCUGCUGUCCUGCUGUCCUGCUGUCCUGCUGUGCAACGUAAGGAUUUGAUCCACAACUGCGAGAGUUACCUCACAUUCAAGGAUACUGGACGUAUUGGAGCAAAAGCUGAUGUCUGCCAACUGAAGUAACAAAGACAAGGAGGUGUCUCAACAUGAGAAGCACUCUGUGGAUGGAGGGUGUGGAUUCCAGUUUUCUCAUGCAAACAGCACCGGCUUCAAACUUGCUCACGGGCCAAGAGCUGCCAUAAACCUGUUUCGGAUAGGAGCCACACCCCUUUCUUCUUCAAGCGUUCAAAGUUCAAUUAUGGUGUGUAGACAAUGGAGGUUUUGAUAGUCAGUUAUCGUUUCAGGCAAAUUUAAAGGCUUUGCACUUUUUACAUAUAAUAUGGUAAUAUGUAAUUAUCUUUAACACUACUUGUUAACUUAUUUGAUGACACUUACUUAUCAUAAGUAUUCACACCCCCUUGGAUUUCUUCACAUUCCAUUGUGACAAAGUGGGAUUCAAAUGUAUAUAAUUGUCAUUUUUUGAAAAUGAUCUACACAAAAUAUUCUGUAAUGUCUAAAUGGAAGAUUGUUGUAAUAAAAAAAAGAUUAAUGGCAAAUAAAAGACCAAUUCACCUUGAUUUAA